AACUCCUCCCGAUGCCUAUAAAUCAGAAAACACAACAACAUUGCAUCGUAUUGAGACGAAAACAGACAAGAUAACAAGGUACAAGGGUACCGAUUUGAAAUAGAGAAGUACAUUAUUAAAUUCCCAGGCAAGCAUGUGGAUGGGCUAAUGAAACAGUAAACCAAAGAAUAACUUAUAAUGUUUUAAAAUAUGCAUAACCAACAGCUUGAUUACCGGAAGCAUCACCAAAAGGAUAUCAAGUCAAUAGCCCAGGUUAAAAGAAGCACUUGUUAGUUGAACUUUUGUUCACUGCAAUGCGUGCACUAUGCACACAGAAGCAAGCAAAAAGAAAGAACAAGAACAGAAAGGGGAAUAAGAUAAUUACCUAUCAUUUGCAACUCUUGCCUCUCUAUCCUUCUGUUCAAUUCUUUCUUCUAAAACUUUGAUCUGGGCGGAUGAAGUAGAGCUCCCAGACCUCCCGGAUCUUGAUGCAUACCCCAUGCUGGAAAGGAAGGUGCUAUGGGCGCUUUCUUCCUUUAGAACUUCAGCCACAAUCGUUGUAUCGGAUACUGG
rnacentral:lncRNA from 1 species